GAGGUCGCUUGGCCGCCGCUGGCUGCCGGCUGUCAGCUGCCAGCGGGGAGCGAGGGUGGCGGCGACUGGUUCCGGCGGCUGGAAGGCCUCUGUUUCUUGGUUCCUCCUUGAGGCUGCUGCAGGGACGCAAGUGGGGUCGGUCUUGGCUGCUUCACCGGAUUGUUUUAUAAAAGAGGAAGAAAAACCAUAGAAACAGGGUUUCACUAUGCUGACCAGACUAGUAUCAAACUCCUGACCUCGUGAUCCACCCACCUUGGCCUCCUAAAGUGCUGGGAUUACAGGCCUGAGCCACCGCACCCAGUGGUACAGCAUCUCAACUCAGUUUUCAACAUGAAGGACGGGAUUGCUCCUGUGUUUGCCUUUAAGGGAACACACAAUGGCGAAAGGUGUUGAUUCUGGAAAAGACUUUCCCAGUGGCACAACUUACUAUGUGGCUUGGGCAUAGGCACUUCACCACUUUAUGUCUCAUUUCCUGUACUGCAAAAAAAUGGAAAAUAUAAUAAUACCUGUCUUAUCUGUAUUUGUGAAAACUUCAUGGGCUAAUUCAUGUGACACAUAUUCACCGUAACAUUUAGUAAGUGUUACCUAUCUCUGUAUCUGUCCUCGAUAUCUAAUAGCAUAUAAAAGAUGGACAUAAUUGAAUAAAUAUAAUUGGGUGGAUGAAUACAUAUAGCCAAAAUUGUCCAAGGUAUCUUGUUUGCCCUAUUACUUUAUGUAAUGCUCAAAGAUAAAAACAGCCUAUUUUACAUUCCCUAAAGUACCUAGUGUUUGAUGCCACAAAUGAUAUUUAAUGAAUGGGAUGUGAGGAAUAAAAUUAGCAAUAACUGUUACAAGACA